rnacentral:lncRNA from 1 species
GGACUGGUGGGCGGCGAAGGGGGAAAGCCCCGGAUGUUCGUUGGGGAUUCAACAUGGCGGCGGCAGUGGCCGUAGCGGCGGCGGCGCCAGAGAGCUGAGGGCAGCGGGAGGGCGCCGAGUUCCGGGCCGAGCGGCCAGGCCGCGAACGACUGCGGUGCCGAGCCGGCCCCACGUGUCCCGUCCACCCUCUUCCUGCUGGCCUCUCGCAUCCUCCGCCUCCGAGCCUCCCUGUUCCUGCCCUGCUCACAGCCUUCCUGCGGCUCCAUCUCACGCAGGUAAGAGCCGAGUCCUCCCUGUGCCCCCCGCCCCGCCCCGGCCACUCGGCCUCCGCUCUGUUCUUUGGCCCUCAAGCACUCUGCGGCCCCAAGCCUUUGUGCUGGCUGUUCUCGCGGCCAGGGUCCUCCUCCCCCAGGCACCCACUCCUCUCCCCACCCUGCUCUAGUGUGACCUCCUCUUCGAGGCCCUCCCUGACCGCUUCACUGAAGAUCCCCACGUCCCCUCAGCCUCCACACCCAGCUGAUCCCUGCUCUUUUUCUUCUCAGCACUCACCAUCUGACUCACUAGCUGGCUGUCUGGUGUAUCUGCUGUGAACUGUCUCUCCUUUCCCCUCGAAUGUGAGCUUGGCAAGGGCAGGGACAUCCCUGGCUCUCCUGGCCUCUGCUGUGGGCCCUGCCCCGGGCUUGGCAGAGCUCAGCUCUCACCCGAC